CAGCACCUCAAGUUGUCAGGAGGAUUAUUGGGCCUAAAGCAUCCGUAGCCUGCUCUGUAAGUUUCCGGUUAAAUCCAUUUGCUCAACAAAUGGGCUGCCGGAAAAACUGCAAAGCUAGGGAGUGGGAGAGGUAGACGGUACUCGGUAGGAAGGGGUAAAAUCCUUUGAUCUAUUGAUGACCACCUGUGGCGAAGGCGGUCUACCAGAACACGUUCGACGGUGAGGGAUGAAAGCUGGGGGAGCAAACCGGAUUAGAUACCCGGGGGUAGUCUUAGCUGUAAACGAUGCAGACUCGGUGAUGCGUUGGCUUGCGGCCAGUGCAGUGCCGCAGGGAAGCCGUUAAGUUUGCCGCCUGGGGAAUACGUACGCAAGUAUG
rnacentral:rRNA from 1 species